AGGACCACCAGGAGGGAAUCAUGUCUAUCUCUGUUGUGUCAUUGUUGUGUUAGUGUUGCCUUUCAACACUUGAUGAAUGCUAAUGUAGCCACCUUGGGGUUAUUCAUCGUGAUGGAAAUCAGGGACACCAUGAAUCACGGAAAUCCCCAGCUGAGAUACUAUGGGAGAAUUUCUCCUUGACUGAGAUGAGUUAUCUUACUCCCAAUGAGAGAGCUCAUUCAUUUUAUAUAUUGUCAGGUGCUGCUCUAGUGACUUUUCUCCCUCAUCUGUACCUUCCAGUGUGCCAAACUGAGAUAAAAAUAUUCUCCUCUGGGGAAAUUUCAAGAUCAAUAAAUGGUAACUUUCUACUACCAUCCCUGCAGAAGUGAAGUGGAAGGAGGAGAGACACAGAGGACUCAGUCAUUUUGUAUUUUAAAUUUCUCAGAUAGCUAUGACCAAAAGAUUAAUCACCAAGUGUCCAGGCCACUGAUGUUAAACUUCUUUGUAUUUAGUUUGGUUGUUCUUCAGAAAGCAAACAAUUUGUUGUUAGAAUUAUACCUCCACAAAAUUCUGCUCCUAUAUCACUACCCAGAUGAUUCUGGGUUCUUAAAAUCUCUAUCAAUUGGGCAUAAGCUCUCCUUAGUUAUAUCAUGUUAAGUCCACUUACCAGAAAUUAUUUUGUGAUAUUUUCUGUGGUUAUGUCUUAUUGCCCCUUUGAACCCCCAAGUUCUAUGAUGACAGGGAUCUGAUAAAAUUUUUUUAUGUCUCUGAAUACUUAGUAUUAUGCCCUGCCCAUUGAAGGCACUUAAUAAUUAUUUGCUAUUUUGUUUUCAUAUUAUGUUGUUUUGUUAUGAUGAUUUAUUUUUA
rnacentral:lncRNA from 1 species